CACUCUUGUAGGUUUUCCCAAAAAUUGUUACCAAUCAGAAUCUCAGGUUAAAUAUUCUAACAUGAAAUGUGAACUUCAUGUUAAAAGUAAAUGAUUGUGAGUGGUAUAAGGGGUGGACUUUGGCGUUUGCAGUUUCUACUCCACUAAUGUUCCCUUGACCUAACAGUGCACCCAUCCCUAGUGUCUAUCCCCCAGCAACUGUGGUAACUGCUGAUAACUGAUUAUAACUUCGCCCUUCUCUUGAUAACUGCCCAGUGCCAGAUGGGAGCCACUACUUCCCGAGGAAUUUCAUCUGGGAUGUAACCCCUCUAUCUCCACCACUGCCAGGCUACAGUCAGCAGGCGAUGACGAACAGACACAGAGUUCAAAAUUGGGUGGAUACUGGUUGGUGGAAAAGAGUUAAUUGCAGCCGGGAGAUUAGAUCCAGAAGAUGACAGGUGAGCACAGUCAAUGUCAGGGUGAGUGAGGGAAGAGGUGGGAGAAAGAAGAGUGCCUGUGGCCAUUCCCGUGAAAAACCGAAAACCAGAAUGAUACAGUGGAACAUGUCAUGUGGACCUAAGGGACAAAGCCAAG
rnacentral:lncRNA from 13 species